rnacentral:misc_RNA from 1 species
GAUGAAGAACGUAGCGAAAUGCGAUACGUAGUGUGAAUUGCAGAAUUCAGUGAAUCAUCGAAUCUUUGAACGCACAUUGCACCUCUCGGUAUUCCGGGAGGUAUGCCUGUUCGAGCGUCAUUUGUACCCUCAAGCUCUGCUUGGUGUUGGGUGUUUGUUCCGCCUCUGUGUGUGAACUCGCCUCAAAACAAUUGGCAGCCGGCGUACUUGUUUCGGAGCGCAGCACAUUUUGCGAUCCAGAUCAACGUACAGCGGCAUCCAAGAAGCCUUAUUUAACGCUCUUGACCUCGGAUCAGGUAGGGAUACCCGCUGAACUUAAGCGUAUCAAUAAGCGGAGGA